GAUGAACGCUGGCGGCGUGCCUAAUACAUGCAAGUCGAGCGAACGGACGAGAAGCUUGCUUUUCUGAUGUUAGCGGCGGACGGGUGAGUAACACGUGGAUAACCUACCUAUAAGACUGUGAUAACUUCGGGAAACCGGAGCUAAUACCGGAUAAUAUUUUGAACCGCAUGGUUCAAAAGUGAAAGACAGUCUUGCUGUCACUUAUAGAUGGAUCCGCUCUGCAUUAGCUAGUUGGUAAGGUAACGGCUUACCAAGGCAACGAUGCAUAGCCGACCUGAGAGGGUGAUCGGCCACACUGGAACUGAGACACGGUCCAGACUCCUACGGGAGGCAGCAGUAGGGAAUCUUCCGCAAUGGGCGAAAGCCUGACGGAGCAACGCCGCGUGAGUGAUGAAGGUCUUCGGAUCGUAAAACUCUGUUAUUAGGGAAGAACAUAUGUGUAAGUAACUGUGCACAUCUUGACGGUACCUAAUCAGAAAGCCACGGCUAACUACGUG
rnacentral:rRNA from 1 species